CAGACUUAGCCAUGGAACACGACUAUGGAGGAGCAGGAGCGUGAGAUGUGAGACAGCUUCCCUUAUAUGAUCAUGUGCCUGGUUCAUCCAUGAAGGUUAUGACAAGCACCCUCAAAUUUCCCUGAAUUUUCUUUCCUCUUUAUUACCUCCUCAAGUCAGUCUUUUAAACAUCUAACUCGUCAAUUUAAAACACAGCUGCUAGAUCAGAUUACAGGCUCUCUUCCCCCUUCCCUCUCCAAGAAGGCAGUUGUGUUCCGUUACAAUCCUAUAUCACAGUUUGUACAGUCACCCCCAUCAAUGGGCAUCCCUGCAAUUUCCUGGUUUGUCAUCAUAAAAAGAACUUGAAUGGAGAGUCUGGUGUAGAGAAGAAAUUCAGGAAGGGUCAGAAAAAGGAACAACUUCACUCCGAUUUUAGUUGGAAAACUCCCUCCGCCCCAUAUUUCCAUGGCUUCCUGAGGGACACUGCAACAUGGAUCACCUUCUGGACCAUAUUUUUACAAAUGAGGCUAGUUUUGCAGUCAGACAGCCUCAGAAAGGGAGAGAAGAACUAUGAGGAGAGUAAAAUAAUGAUAUUUUGGUCAUAAGCUUAUUUCAAAUUUACUAAUGAUGUUGCUUACCCUCUCAUGUAAAGAUUUUACUUAAAAAGGAUGAAAGCUUUCAAGAUAACUGUAACAAAUGCCUCGCUGUGGAUUUUUAAAAGUGUUUUGGUAUUGCUAUACUAUGGUAUUCAAGCGUUGAUACCCUAGGGGAUAAUGCUGCUGAAUUAUGUGUUUGUUGUUCAUUUACCAACGUAAAUUUGUAUAAGUAAAAUGGAGAAAAAUGAUUGCCCUGACAUAAUAAUAGUGAGUCCAUAAAUAAUGCAGCAGAAGGGGAGAAAUCAGAGAUUUCCAUCUGAAUGACAGAAGACCUUCCUCCGAGUGAGUUUCUUAAUUGAGGGUCGACCAAACUUUAAGCCAGCAUUCAUAAUUAAUUGGCAUGCAGAAUUUGAAAGCUCAUAAACUCCAGAUGCAAAACCCAUAGUGGAGGGGUGGAAUGUAUCGAAAGCUUAGUGGGAAUAAGAGACGAUUUCCAACAUUCGUUGUCCUUUUAUCAAAGCCUCUAUUGGAAAUGAGCUUUGGUUUGGGGAUGGAUUUUCCCACUGCAAAACACUGAAACCACCUUUUGGCCACAAGGGUAUGGCCUGACCCAACGGGUGGAAUUCACAAGAGCCAUAUGUUGCUUCAAUAUGAGGAACGUUUUCCUAACGAGCUCUUGUAUUGGGGGAUUAAACACAGGGAACUUCUGGCACAGAAACUCCUUCCAUAGGUACAGAUUAGGAAGGAAACCCCAACCCACCCUCCGAGAC